ensembl:snRNA U6 U6 spliceosomal RNA
GUGCUUGUCUUGGCAGCACAUAUACUGGAAUUGGGACUAUACAAAGAAGAUUAGCAUGGCCCCUGAGCAAAGAUGACACACAACUUAGAACAAAAAAAAAAAAAAAA